GGGGGGGGGGGGGAUCGAUUUCCUUGUUUCUAGUCUGAGAAGGCAGAACUGCAGCCACAGAGUCAGCCCAGGGCUGUGCAAGGCCCUGCUCAGAGCUGCCUCCCCAAGCCCGAGCCUUCGGCACUGCCAGGGAGACGCAGGGCCGAGAACAGAAGCAUCGGCAGCUGAGGAUGAACCUGCAGAGGGAACCGUGAAGGCCGGUCCUGGAGAGGGGCAGGCAGUAAGCACCUGCCAUCUGCCCAGAAGUCUGACUCUACGCCGCUUUUCUGUAAGUUUCUGUGAGCAUUUUGUGAUAAGCUUUUAUAGCUUUGCCUUGAUUCUUAAUUCUGAAUGUUGUAACUACACAUUAAAAACAAACAAACAAACAAAAAAAAUCUUGGUUAAACUGCAGCAAUGCUUCCUUUAAAAGAUGAUACUCUUUCAGUUCAAUCUUUGAAGUAUUAUUUCAGGUACCGGUGGGGAGGGAAGAGGAUAUGCCAAAUAGAAGAACGUUAUGCUCUGCAAAUACGACAGAGUCUGGAGUACACAGUAAAAGCCAGUAUCUUUACUUUAGUGAAUGCAGGAUACAAAUAUUUUACAACAACCUCUAGCAUUUUCUUAACCAUUUGAUAAAAAGUUCACUAGAAUAUUUAUUGUAUAUUGAAGAAAAAACAACACAUUCAGGGAAAAAAAUUGAGAUUAACUUAUUUUUUUUCUUAAAAGAUUCAUCUCAAGGAUGGCAACAAAGUCCAGCUUGUGCCGCCAAACGGCUUAUCAUCAUUAAACCGUGAACAGCUUCUUUGUGAACUGUUGACUACAAACAUUUACCAAAUACAUAAAUCUCUUUUAAAAAAGCCAUUUUAAAUAUAGCAAAGCAGUGUUCUCUUGCACAGCAAAGUGAAGGAAGUUUCUACUAAGAUUUAAAUGUUUACAUUUGUUAAGUCUUUCUUUCACAUUCUAAUUAAACUUCUUCCCAUGAUCAAUUGUUAGGAGUCAUUAUGUUCCUUAUUUACUAUGUAUUUCUUGUGCGCACAGUAAUUUGUACGUUUCUGAUGCAUUAGUGUCCUUUAAGGAAAGGCUAAAGCAUUUUUCUCUGACGAAUCCCUGAUUACGUGUACUCUUAAAUACUAUCAGUGAGAGCUCAAAGAUGGAGAGGUGAUUUGUCACAUUAGAAGAUGAAAAUCUGAUGUAAUUCAGACUUGAAUGGGUUCAAAAUAGAAUUGGAGCCACCUGCAACUUCUUUCAGUAUACUUACUUUAAAAAAAGUAUUCUUUUAAGUGUUGAAAUAUCUGUGCUAUGUCCUUUUUUUUGUACAAAACACUUUUACAGUUUCUAAAAAAGUAUGUUUCAAAGUUAGCUAUGUGUGUUUAUUAAAAAUCAGAAUUCCCAUUUAUUUAAUGGCAAGAGAUUUUUUUCCCACUGACAGGGAAGGGCUUCAUAAAGACUUAGUCUGUUGAGUCUGUUAGAGGGUUUGGGGCAACACGUUAACAGUCUCAGCAUCGAUUCUUAAGAACUGAUUUUUUUUUUCUUUUUGAAUUAGUUGGUGCAAUUUCAUUAUAAAUGCUAACCUUUAACUUUUUUCUUUAAGAAAACAGUAAUAGUACUGUUUAAAAACCUGCAUAGAAAUAAAGACUAUUGUGAUACAGUCAGCAAAGCCAUCUUAUAAGGCACACAAGAAAAUAGACAGUAAAUGUGAAUGCAGAACUCCCACUCAGAUGUACAGCAAAGUUCAUAUGUGCAUAAUAAUGAAAAAAAUCACAUAACUUUUCAAAGCAUUAAAAGGUUCUCUGAAGUGGUAAGUGAAUUAAAUCACUUUGGAAACAGAAUUGCCAUUAGCAAAAGAGACUGGUUUCCUCUGUAGGGUUCUGUAAACUAGUAACUAAUGCUGGAGUAAUGCAGAAUGAUUUCCAGUGAUAACAGUGUCUGAAGCAAAUAGGAACCCGUAAGCUUUAAAGUUACUAUGACAACAAUAGACCUGGUUUGCAAUCUCUCCGUAGUAACUUUGUCCUUCAGUCACACCUUAAGCAAGCAGCUGGGGAGAGAGCUGCCACCACUGGAUUUCCAUUUCUAACGCUUCAGUUUAGUAUCAAGUAAGUGAUUUUAUUACAGAUUAAAAAAAAAAAAAUUAAAAGCCCAAGCAAAAAUUUAAUAAAUAGCAGGGAUAAUUUUAAAGGGUUUUGGGUAAAAAAACAGCAUUGUUCCUUUUUCCCCAAAAUUAGAGCUACCAGCAAUAAGAUUCAUAUCUUUUCAAUGUGGUUCCCAGUACGAAGGAAGUGAAUCGUUCACACGUGCAGGAAGAUGAGCGACGCAGCAAGGAUCUGAAAACAGAUUCGAUUUCUACAACAAGAUAUGUCAGGACAGUUCAUUUUGAGAACACAAAACUGAAGAGGCAGUGCUGCAAGUUUAUGUCACCCAUGUGUCCAUCCUCAUGCGUUUUACUGAUGGACUCUCUCGAUCUUCUGAGUUUGGUGGCCUUCCCAGCACGACAGGUGAAUGGAAGUCACUCCUGGGGUCUUCCCGAUCGCUGCCAUCGUAGGAACUGCUGGAGCUGCUGAGACUGUCGACAGGAGAGCGACCCAUUUCCUGCCGUGAUUGCUGCUGCUGCUGCUGCUGCUGUUGUGGUGGUGGUGGUGGUUGCUGCUGCUGUGGUGGCGGCUGCUGCUGCUGUUGUUGUUGUUGUGGAAACCCAGAGGGAGUUACACGGUCCCGGGGAGGUGAAAUUGGUUCAGAUUUUAUGUUGAUGUUUUGGUUGGUAUUAAUGGAUAAAUUUGAACCCUGAGAUAGCUGGCUGCCACUACUGUGAAAAAGAAAACCAAGGGAAGAAAUAAGAAAACACCAGGAAAAAAAAGUGACAAUUCAUGUGCAUCUGUAUGAGGAUUUGGUCUUCCAGUUCCACAUCCUCAAAAUGAGUAUGUAAAUAAAUGCAACUUACUUCAGUGAAGAAACAAAGUUGAAAAAAGCAUCAAUUAAAGGUCUGAACUGUA